ACUGCAGACACAGCUGAUUCUCACAGCCAGUUGGCCUGGAGGUCAAAUCCCCCCCAGCAUUACCUACAGCAAUCAAAAUUUAAAAACAAUCAGUGGUCACAUGGAAGAAAUAAUGUUUGUGUGAAGUUAGUCACUGACAGCUAUUGAUGAUGUGGCAGAAUAUUAGAAACAGAUCAGCAGUCCAUCAACAGGAGACAGGUCGUUAUCUCCUGCCUGAGAGGAGGACUCCACGUCACUCUGUGAGACAAGCCCCUGAUUGACUGCUCUGCUGUGUGAGCCUGAACCAACUGUGGCCACCUGUCUGUCUCCAUCUUCGUCGUCCGUCUUUCAGUGUGCAUCGCCAGGUGGCCUUUGCUGGAGCCUAGGACCCACUAGGAAUAGGCAGAAGGCUCCCUAAAGAUGUCCACAACCUAAUCCUUGGACCAUGCAACUGUGCUGUACUAUAUAACAAAGGGAAAUCUGUAGAUAUCAUUAAAGUCAUAGACUUUAAAAAUGAGGAGAGAAGAAAAAAGAAAUGAGAGAGCCCUGGCCGGUUUUGCUCAGUGGAUAGAGCGUCAUCGUUGGCCGUGGACUGAAGGAUCACAGACCUUGAGGCCUGCAAAAAAUCAGGCUCAGUAUCAUCUACAUCAAGUAUGUCAAACUCGCAGCCCAAGGGCUGCAUGUGGCCCACAACGAAUGUUUUUUGCAGCCCAGCCAAUAUAACGAGAGAAAGUGAGAAGAAGAGAGAGAAAGAAA